rnacentral:tRNA from 1 species
GCAGUAGCUCAGUGGUAGAGCUCCCGCUUCAAAUGCAUGAUGACCUGGGUUAUAUUCCCGGCUGC